rnacentral:tRNA from 115 species
GCGCGAGUGGCGGAAUUGGUAGACGCGCACGGUUCAGGUCCGUGUGCUGGAAACGGCGUGGGGGUUCAAGUCCCCCCUCGCGCACCA